GACGAACGCUGGCGGCGUGCUUAACACAUGCAAGUCGAGCGGAGCGGCGAACGGGGGAGUAACGCGUGAGUACCUGCCCCCCUCCCUGGGAUAACAGUUGGAAACGGCUGCGAAUACCGGAUAUUGGGGGAUGACUCGCGUCCUUUCAGCUUGGGGGUGGGGUAGUGGCAUACCAAGGCGACGACGGGUAGACGGCCUGAGCGGUCGACCGGCCACAUUGAGCUGAGAUGCAGCACAAAUUCCGACGAGAGGCAGCAGUGGAGAAUAUUGCACAAUGGGAGAGACUCUGAUGCAGGAACGCCGCGUGCGGGGUGACGGAAUUCGAGUUGUAAACCGCAUUCAGCCAUUAGGCGGUAGUGGCAGAAGAAGCACAGGCUAACUACGUGCCAGCAGCCGCGGUAAUAC
rnacentral:rRNA from 1 species